GAUCACAUUGUUGAGAUGAUACCAACUUGGCAGACUUUUCCUUGGGAAAAAGCUAGAGGUACUCCAUUCUUUUAUUUUAUUUUCUUUUCCCUACAAUUCUCUACUGAUGUUUUGAGCAUAAAGAGUAUUUGGAGGGAGGGUUCAUGAAAUGGUUAGGCUAGCUUCUUUACCAAUUGAAUUUCGGUUGUACCCACAUUGUCCCAUGUUCGGAUUGUCUCUUUUAUGGGGUUUCUUCUUUUCCUGGAUAGCAUAUUCUUGUACAGCUCAUUGAAGUCUCUGAUUGAGACAAAAACGGCUUCAGUGUCCAUCUUCUUCUCGUUCGAUUGGAAAAUCAUAUGCAAAAACUCCAUGAUCGUGAUUCGUUGUAGGAAAGGGUUGUGAAACUUGAAGAAGAGUUGCAGCUUGCAGAGACCACCGUAACUAAGCUGAGGUAAGGGGAUUGGAAAGCGAGACGAGCAAUGGUUAGAGAUUAUUUAUUGGGAGCCUCGAGCUUUCCUAUACCAUCAUUUAGCGGUCUUGUCUAAGACUCCAGGGAUGGAGACAUUUUGGAUGAGGAGGCUAGAGCUGAAAUGUCCAGCACUAUUGCAACUAAAGACAAAAGGAAUGUAUACUCACCUUGGCUUUGGCUGGGACUAUCGGAGGAAAAUGGUGGAUGUGGAUUAUGAACUAUGGAAGGAUAACAUCGAGGUGCAUCCUGAAUCUGCACCUUACAGAAAGUAUGGAUGUCCACUUUAUGAUGAUCUAUGCAAUAUAUUUACAAAGCCCAUAGCUACUGGAAAGCAUGCUUUCUCACCUGAGAUGAUUACUUCAGUCACUAGCUCUACUUCACGGAGAAAACAAGGCUUAAGCUUGUACCUAUUAUAGCAGUUGGAUAUCAUGUAACAAACCACCUUAGAGUGUUAAUCCCUUAAUAACACCAACAAACUACCUUUGGUUUGAUUCAGGGAAUGUUAAUCCCUUAAUUUUGUAAACUUUAUGUUAUAACUAAGUGUUUGUGCAUAGUAAAUAAGU